ensembl:lncRNA
CUUAUUCACUCCCCUCCUUUGUUUUGCUUUGCCCUUGUGUGUUUGGAGUGUUAAUUUUGGAUUGUGGUGCUCCCAUUUUAAGUUUAUACUUUCACCCCUCACUCACCUUGAGCACAAAUGCCCCAGCCCUGGAAUACAUGAUAAUUUAUACAAAUAGGAUAACUUUUUUAGAUUUGAAUUGUGCCCAAUAAACUGUUGUAUAUGCUUUUGGAAACACGUCUCUCGCCUGCUCAGUGUAACGAACUUGUGUUGUCCUUUUGUUUAGAUUUAGUAAUUUACCUUAUUCAUAGAUUUCUUUCUUUUCCCUGGGUGAUUUCUCCCAGGGUGGCGUUGCUGGUUUCCUUUAGUUUCUUUCUUUUUCCCCUAGUUAAAAACAUAGAUUAUUGGGGUAGUUCCUACCCCACCUCACGCUUGCCACAAACUUGGCGUUGCUGGCAGGACUUAUACUGAAAAAAAAAAAGGCAGAGACGUGUGUUCCUUUGUUUUUUGUUGUUUGUUUUUUUGUUUUUUUUGUUUUUCUGAAUAAGACAAAGCAGCAGCAGUCCCCUGGCAACCAUGGAGGAAGAAAUGCAAGAGUUGCGAGCUCUGGUUGCGCAGUUAAAGGCUGACAAUGAGAGGUUGCGUCAAGCUUCGUUGGUGCCGCCCUCUAGUGCUACACCUUCAACCUCCUCAGUACUGCCGACUGCCCUUACUUCUGCCAGUGCCCCUGCAGCCGAGAGGCCCCACAACCUGUCACGCAGGCAUUACAGGAGUACCAUCAGGUGACCACGCAGACCUCCCAGGAGCUGUCUGGGAAGGCAAAGGUCAGAGACGAGACCCCAGUCACGCAACGCUACAGGCGUGUAUCCCCUUCUGAUUAUGAGGCUGUCAAAGACCACGUUAAUCAGCUUCUUUCUGCUCAGGUAAUUAGAGAGAGUUGUAGCCCCUAUGCCUCCCCCAUUGUGCUUGUAAAGAAGAAGGAUGGGAGCCUGCGUAUGUGUGUCGAUUACCGGCAACUAAAUGCCAAGACCAGGAAAGAUGCGUUCCCGCUGCCACGCAUUGAAGAAUCAUUGGAUGCCUUGACGGGUGCACGCUGGUUCUCUACCAUGGACCUGGCCAGUGGGUACAACCAGGUUGAGGUCACGGAGAAGGACCGACCGAAGACGGCGUUUUGUACACCAUUCGG